rnacentral:rRNA from 1 species
AGAGUUUGAUCCUGGCUCAGAUUGAACGCUGGCGGCAGGCCUAACACAUGCAAGUCGAACGGUAGCACAGAGGAGCUUGCUCCUUGGGUGACGAGUGGCGGACGGGUGAGUAAUGUCUGGGAAACUGCCCGAUGGAGGGGGAUAACUACUGGAAACGGUAGCUAAUACCGCAUAACGUCGCAAGACCAAAGAGGGGGACCUUCGGGCCUCUUGCCAUCGGAUGUGCCCAGAUGGGAUUAGCUAGUAGGUGGGGUAACGGCUCACCUAGGCGACGAUCCCUAGCUGGUCUGAGAGGAUGACCAGCCACACUGGAACUGAGACACGGUCCAGACUCCUACGGGAGGCAGCAGUGGGGAAUAUUGCACAAUGGGCGCAAGCCUGAUGCGGCCAUGCCGCGUGUAUGAAGAAGGCCUUCGGGUUGUAAAGUACUUUCAGCGAGGAGGAAGGCGUUGUGGUUAAUAACCGCAACGAUUGACGUUACUCGCAGAAGAAGCACCGGCUAACUCCGUGCCAGCAGCCGCGGUAA